UUGUCUCCACUCCAUUCUUCAC
rnacentral:misc_RNA from 1 species